rnacentral:tRNA from 1 species
GCCCAAGUGGCGGAAUUGGUAGACGCGCUAGUUUCAGGGACUAGUGAUCGCAAGGUCGUGUAGGUUCGAGUCCUAUCUUGGGCA